AUGAUGCUCUCAUGGAAGGUUGGCGGUGUCCCUCUUCGCUUGAGGUCUCCCGCGAGAACAUUCUAUCAGAUGUCACGCGAACUCCGGUGUGCAGUCACGCAGCUGCCCCAGCUUCUGCGUGGACCUGUCUGGAGCCGUCCUCAGCCCGAGCUUCACCUUUACAGCCAGGACCUAGUUCUUCUUCAUGGGGAUGGGCUUUUUGGAUUCAAUGGUGAACUGGAAGAAAGUUCUCAUUGUAUCUCAGAUCUUCUGCAGUUAAUGAAGCACACACCACUCAGACACAUACACAGCACACACCCAACACUCACACUACACACUUACCCAACACACGUACCACACACAUGCCCAACACACACUCAUACAUACCACACACACCACACAGCACACCUCCUCAACACACACACAGCACACACACCACCCCAACACACACACAGCACACACACCCCCAUCACACACCCCCAUCACACACCCCAGCACACACACGUGCAUACCCCACAGCACACACCCCAGCACACACACCACACAUACCCAACAUACACACACACUACACACCCUGAACACACACACCACACACUACAUAGCACACACCCCAACACACACAUUGUACACCCAAAACACACACACACCACAUACCCAACACACAUACACAUCACACACCUCCAACACGCACACUCAACACAGCCCAACACAAAAACACACACCACAUACCCAACACACAUACACAUCACACACCCCCAACACACAUACACACCACACACCCCCAACACACACACCACACACUCCAACACAAACACACACACCACACACUACAUAGCACACACCCCAACACACACAUCACAUACCCCCAAAACACACACACCUCACAUACCCAACACGCACACACCACACAUCCCAACACACACAUACCACACAUCCCCAACACACACACACCACACACUCCAACACAAACACACACACCACACGCUACAUAGCACACACCCCAACACACACAUCACACACCCCCAAAACACACACACCCCACAUUCCCAACACACAUACACACCACACACCCCCAACACACACCACACACUCCAACACAAACACACACACCACACACUACAUAGCACACACCCUGACACACAUAUCACACACCCCCAAAACACACACACCCCACAUCCCCACACACACACCACACACUCCCAACACACACACGCCACAUACCCCCAACACAUACACACACGACACACUCGUGGCCACCAUGUCCCCGUCCUGCCUCCGCAGUGUCCAAGCAAAGGGUGA
rnacentral:lncRNA from 1 species